GCUCCACCGCACCACCACUGAACCACCCUCGUCUGCCGCUGCUAUACCCAACCACCAAGCACUCCACGCCGUCCAGUCGCGCAGCCCGCCUCCCAACACCGCCAGCCCAGCCACCUUUCUUUCUCUCGCAGCACCAUUUUUUCUCUCCGUCUCCGCGACCCACCUGCACAAACCUCCAUCGGAAACGGCCCACCUUCGUCACUCCGACGAAAUCCGGCGAACCACCCUGACACCUUCAAACUCGCCGCUGCAUUCUCAAUUUCCGGCGAAGCCCUGCUGUCGCACGUCCUCUGCCGCAAGAUUAAGGAAAAAGGGAUAUUACAAGCCUCCCCCGACUAUCAAAGUUACUAAGCAGGAUUUGAGGUAAUGACGGGGACGACGGAAUGGCGUAGCAGUGAGGAAUAAUUAUUACUUAAAUUAUGCAGACUCUUAUUAUUUGUAUUCUAAGCUUAAGAACAUUAGUUUAUGAACCUUAAUUAUGUUCCACCUAAUUAUUUACGCAUUUCUAGGUUAGUUAUGAAGUUUAAUAUUUAUAAAGUUACGUUCUUUAACGAACUUACGUUGCCUUGUAUUUUCCAAAAGGAAGGUACGGCAGUAACGCAC